rnacentral:lncRNA from 1 species
CAGGAAUGCCACAGGCCCACAGGAAUCUGCUUCGCUGGCCUUGCAGUCACACUCCUGCAUCAACUGUGAUCUGGAUCGGGUAUGCUGACAGUUUGUAUUAAAAACAACAACACUAAAGAUAACCUAGUAUGCUCGAAGGAAGGAAGGAAGGAAGGAAGGAAGGAAGGAAGGAAGGAAGGAAGGAAGAUUCAUAAUCCGCACCCAUUCUGGUUCAAUUAGGAGGUGAAUUGAUUCAACAUGACAUUCUGAUCCAGUUAGGAGUUUCCAUGAGCCUCUGUGAUAGUGUUAAGAAAACAGACAUCUGAAAGGAAAUGGUUGUACACAGUUAUCCAUCUGCCUCCUUUCUGACUUCUCGGCCAGCAAUGGGGAUAACACUGGAGAGCAUUGCAGAAUUAUUAUAUGCCAGGUAACCCUGUCUGCCCUCUAGAUACAGUUAAAUUAUGGGAUAUUAAAUCAAAUAAGACAAUAAAAAUAAUAAAAUGGUCUGUGUUUACA